rnacentral:rRNA from 1 species
UACGUAGGGACCGAGCGUUGUCCGGAAUCAUUGGGCGUAAAGAGCGUGUAGGCGGCCUUUUAAGUCCUGCGUGAAAUCCUGCGGCUCAACCGCAGACGGUCGUGGGAAACUGGAAGGCUAGAGUCCGGAAGAGGAGAAUGGAAUUCCCGGUGUAGCGGUGAAAUGCGCAGAUAUCGGGAAGAACACCCGUGGCGAAGGCGGUUCUCUGGGACGGUACUGACGCUGAGACGCGAAAGCGUGGGGAGCGAACAGG